rnacentral:tRNA from 1 species
GUGAGCGUAGCUCAGUUGGUUAGAGUCCCGGAUUGUGAUUCCGGUGGUCGUGGGUUCGAGUCCCAUCGCUCACCCCA